GUACAACAAUACCUUCAAAUGACCUUGAUUAAGGUGGUAUCAGAUGAUAUUGUUAGCAGAUCAUCCAUUGAGAAAAAUACAGCACAACCAAUGAUCUAGGUUAGUGUUUCUGGGUCCUGGGGAUAUAACCAAUGAUCUAGGUUAGUGUUUCUUGGCCCUGGGGAUAUAACUAAUGAUCUAGGUUAGUGUUUCUGGGCCCUGGGGAUAUAACCAAUGAUCUAGGUUAGUGUUUCUGGGUCCUGGGGAUAUAACCAAUGAUCUAGGUUAGUGUUUCUGGGUCCUGGGGAUAUAACCAAUGAUCUAGGUUAGUGUUCCUGGGUCCUGGGGAUAUAACUAAUGAUCUAGGUUAGUGUUUCUGGGUCCUGGGGAUAUAACCAAUGAUCUAGGUUAGUGUUUCCUGGUCCUGAGGAUAUAACCAAUGAUCUAGGUUAGUGUUUCUGGGUCCUGGGGAUAUAACCAAUGAUCUAGGUUAGUGUUCCUGGGUCCUGGGGAUAUAACCAAUGAUCUAGGUGAGUGUUUCUGGGUCCUGGGGAUAUAACCAAUGAUCUAGGUUAGUGUUUCCUGGUCCUGAGGAUAUAACCAAUGAUCUAGGUUAGUGUUUCUGGGUCCUGGGGAUAUAACCAAUGAUCUAGGUUAGUGUUUCUGGGUCCUGGGGAUAUAACCAAUGAUCUAGGUUAGUGUUUCUUGGCCCUGGGGAUAUAACUAAUGAUCUAGGUUAGUGUUUCUGGGUCCUGGGGAUAUAACCAAUGAUCUAGGUUAGUGUUUCUGGGUCCUGGGGAUAUAACCAAUGAUCUAGGUUAGUGUUUCUGGGUCCUGGGGAUAUAACCAAUGAUCUAGGUUAGUGUUUCUUGGCCCUGGGGAUAUAACUAAUGAUCUAGGUUAGUGUUUCUUGGCCCUGGGGAUAUAACUAAUGAUCUAGGUUAGUGUUUCUGGGUCCUGGGGAUAUAACCAAUGAUCUAGGUUAGUGUUUCUGGGUCCUGGGGAUAUAACCAAUGAUCUAGGUUAGUGUUUCUUGGCCCUGUGGAUAUAACUAAUGAUCUAGGUUAGUGUUUCUGGGUCCUGGGGAUAUAACCAAUGAUCUAGGUUAGUGAUCCUGGGUCCUGGGGAUAUAACUAAUGAUCUAGGUUAGUGUUUCUUGGCCCUGGGGAUAUAACUAAUGAUCUAGGUUAGUGUUUCUGGGUCCUGGGGAUAUAACCAAUGAUCUAGGUUAGUGUUUCCUGGUCCUGAUGAUAUAACCAAUGAUCUAGGUUAGUGUUUCCUGGUCCUGAGGAUAUAACCAAUGAUCUAGGUUAGUGUUUCUUGGCCCUGGGGAUAUAACUAAUGAUCUAGGUUAGUGUUUCUGGGUCCUGAGGAUAUAACCAAUGAUCUAGGUUAGUGUUUCUGGGUCCUGGGGAUAUAACCAAUGAUCUAGGUUAGUGUUUCUUGGCCCUGGGGAUAUAACCAAUGAUCUAGGUUAGUGUUUCUGGGUCCUGGGGAUAUAACCAAUGAUCUAGGUUAGUGUUUCUGGGUCCUGGGGAUAUAACCAAUGAUCUAGGUUAGUGUUUCUUGGCCCUGGGGAUAUAACUAAUGAUCUAGGUUAGUGUUUCUUGGCCCUGGGGAUAUAACUAAUGAUCUAGGUUAGUGUUUCUGGGUCCUGAGGAUAUAACCAAUGAUCUAGGUUAGUGUUUCUGGGUCCUGGGGAUAUAACCAAUGAUCUAGGUUAGUGUUUCUUGGCCCUGGGGAUAUAACCAAUGAUCUAGGUUAGUGUUUCUGGGUCCUGGGGAUAUAACCAAUGAUCUAGGUUAGUGUUUCUGGGUCCUGGGGAUAUAACCAAUGAUCUAGGUUAGUGUUUCUUGGCCCUGGGGAUAUAACUAAUGAUCUAGGUUAGUGUUUCUGGGUCCUGGGGAUAUAACCAAUGAUCUAGGUUAGUGUUUCUGGGUCCUGGGGAUAUAACUAAUGAUCUAGGUUAGUGUUUCUGGGUCCUGGGGAUAUAACUAAUGAUCUAGGUUAGUGUUUCUUGGUCCUGGGGAUAUAACUAAUGAUCUAGGUUAGUGUUUCCUGGUCCUGAGGAUAUAACCAAUGAUCUAGGUUAGUGUUUCUGGGUCCUGGGGAUAUGAAAUAUGACCCUUUGGGUCCAUAACCCUAAC